UACAGAGGUCUCAACCGUUGUUCGGAUUCAUUGGGCGUAAAGGGUGCGUAGGCGGUCGCGCAAGUCGGAUGUGAAAUCUCAGGGCUCAACCCUGAAACUGCAUUCGAUACUGCGUGGCUAGAGUGCUGGAGAGGAGACUGGAAUUUUACGGUGUAGCAGUGAAAAUGCGUAGAUAUCGUAAGGAAGACCAGUGGCGAAGGCGAGUCUCUGGACAGCAACUGACGCUGAGGCACGAAAGGCCCAGGGGGAGCAAAACGGGG
rnacentral:rRNA from 1 species